rnacentral:rRNA from 1 species
GAUGAACGCUAGCGGCAGGCCUAACUCAUGCAAGUCGAGGGGUAGCAGGAUUAAGCUUGCUUAAUUGCUGACGACCGGCGCACGGGUGCGUAACGCGUAUGCAACCUACCUUAUACUGGGGUAUAGCCCGGAGAAAUUCGGAUUAAUCCCCCAUAGUACUAAUGAAUCGCAUGGUUUAUUAGUUAAAGCAUUGCGGUAUAAGAUGGGCAUGCGUCCUAUUAGCUAGAUGGUGAGGUAACGGCUCACCAUGGCUACGAUAGGUAGGGGGCCUGAGAGGGUGGUCCCCCACACUGGGACUGAGACUCGGACCAGACUCCUCCGGGAGGCAGCAGUGAGGAAUAUUGGUCAAUGGGCGCAAGCCGGAACCAGCCAUGCCGCGUGCAGGAAGAAUGCCCUAUGGGUUGUAAACUGCUUUUAUUUGGGAAUAAACCUCUUUACGUGUAGAGAGCUGAAGGUACCAAAUGAAUAAGCACCGGCUAACUCCGUGCCAGCCGCCGCCGUAA